AGUGAACGCUGGCGGUAGGCCUAACACAUGCAAGUCGAACGGCAGCACAGUAAGAGCUUGCUCUUACGGGUGGCGAGUGGCGGACGGGUGAGGAAUACAUCGGAAUCUACUUUUUCGUGGGGGAUAACGUAGGGAAACUUACGCUAAUACCGCAUACGACCUACGGGUGAAAGCAGGGGAUCUUCGGACCUUGCGCGAUUGAAUGAGCCGAUGUCGGAUUAGCUAGUUGGCGGGGUAAAGGCCCACCAAGGCGACGAUCCGUAGCUGGUCUGAGAGGAUGAUCAGCCACACUGGAACUGAGACACGGUCCAGACUCCUACGGGAGGCAGCAGUGGGGAAUAUUGAACAAAGGGCGCAAGCCUGAUCCAGCCAUACCGCGUGGGUGAAGAAGGCCUUCGGGUUGUAAAGCCCUUUUGUUGGGAAAGAAAAGCAGCAGGUUAAUACCCCGCUGUUCUGACGGUACCCAAAGAAUAAGCACCGGCUAACUUCGUG
rnacentral:rRNA from 1 species